UUAUGGCCAUAUCACAUUGAAACACCGGUUCUUGUAUGAUCACUGAAAGUUAAACAACAUUGAGCCUAGUCAGUACUUAGGUGGGUGACUAUUUGGGAAUAUCAGGUGCUGUAAG